rnacentral:rRNA from 1 species
UGCAGGUCGAGCGAUGGAAUAAGAGCUUGCUCUUAUGAAGUUAGCGGCGGACGGCUGARAUCACGUGGGUAACCUGCCCAUAAGACUGGKAUAACUCCGCCCUACCGGGGCUAAUACCGGAUAACAUUUUGAACCGCAUGGYUCKAAAUUGAYAGGCGSCUUCGGCUGUCACUUAUGGAUG